rnacentral:lncRNA from 1 species
CUUAAAUACAUAGACGUGUUUAGAAAUACCUCUACCACAAAAUGUCUGCUGACCGAACCAUUUCUAAGACAAAUAUUUCUGAUUAGUCCUAAUAUAGGCCUUAAAAUUUUGGAGCAUGAAUUCACUUCUUUACCACCAUCAAGUAGAUUAAAAUGAAGGAAGUAUGCGUGCUUCAUUUCUUACCCAGAGUUACCAACUGCCAGUUCUUGAUACCAUGUUUGUAAGAAAGAAAUACCGAGGCAAAGAUUUUGGACUUCAUAUGCUGGAAGAUUUUGUUGAUUCCUUUACAGAAGAUGCACUUGGCUUGCGUUACCCUCUGUUUUCUUUCAUGUACACAGCUUGCAAACAGUACUUUGAAAAGUAUCCAGGAGACCAUGAACUCCUUUGGGAAGUUGAAGGUGUUGGACACUGGUACCAGAGAAUACCAGUCACGAGAGCAUUGCAGAGAGAAACACUUAAAAUUACAGGUAAGAAUGUUUCCAGUUUGAACACAGUCCAGUUUUAAAAGCAGCAUUUGCUACAUAAUGGUGAUGUCUAGAGCAGUGGUGUAUUAAGUGAUCUUUCUGGUAUUGGACCCUCAUAUCUAAAGUUUGAAUUUUUA